rnacentral:misc_RNA from 2 species
UCGUAACAAGGUUUCCGUAGGUGAACCUGCGGAAGGAUCAUUACCGAGUGAGGGCCCUUUGGGUCCAACCUCCCACCCGUGUUUAUUUUACCUUGUUGCUUCGGCGGGCCCGCCUUUACUGGCCGCCGGGGGGCUUCACGCCCCCGGGCCCGCGCCCGCCGAAGACACCCUCGAACUCUGUCUGAAGAUUGAAGUCUGAGUGAAAAUAUAAAUUAUUUAAAACUUUCAACAACGGAUCUCUUGGUUCCGGCAUCGAUGAAGAACGCAGCGAAAUGCGAUACGUAAUGUGAAUUGCAAAUUCAGUGAAUCAUCGAGUCUUUGAACGCACAUUGCGCCCCCUGGUAUUCCGGGGGGCAUGCCUGUCCGAGCGUCAUUGCUGCCCUCAAGCCCGGCUUGUGUGUUGGGCCCCGUCCUCCGAUUCCGGGGGACGGGCCCGAAAGGCAGCGGCGGCACCGCGUCCGGUCCUCGAGCGUAUGGGGCUUUGUCACCCGCUCCGUAGGCCCGGCCGGCGCUUGCCGAUCAACCCAAAUUUUUAUCCAGGUUGACCUCGGAUCAGGUAGGGAUACCCGCUGAACUUAAGCAUAUCAAUAA